rnacentral:rRNA from 1 species
GAUGAACGCUGGCGGCGUGCUUAAUACAUGCAAGUCGAGCGAACAGACGAGGAGCUUGCUCCUUUGACGUUAGCGGCGGACGGGUGAGUAACACGUAGGUAAUCUACCUAUAAGACUGGGAUAACUUCGGGAAUCCGGAGCUAAUCCCGGAGAAUAUUUCGAACCGCAUGGUUCGAUAGUGAAAGACGGCUUUGCUAUCACUUAUAGAUGGACCUGCGCCGUAUUAGGUAGUUGGUAAGGUAACAGCUUACCAAGGCAACGAUACGUAGCCGACCUGAGAGGGUGAUCGGCCACACGGGAACUAGAACACGGUCAAGACUCCUACGGGAGGCAGCAGUAGGGUAUCUUCCGCAAUGGGCGAAAGCCUGACGGAGCAACGCCGCGUGAGUGAUGAAGGUCUUCGGAUCGUAAAACUCUGUUAUUAGGGAAGAACAAACGUGUACGUAACUGUGCACGUCUUGACGGUACCUAAUCAGAAAGCCACGGCUAACUACGUG